CGGGUGGCAGCAGUGAGGAAUAUUGGUCAAUGGGCGAGAGCCUGAACCAGCCAUCCCGCGUGCAGGAAGACGGCCCUAUGGGUUGUAAACUGCUUUUUCGCAUGAAGAACAUCCCGGACGUGUCCGGGACUGACGGUAAUGCGUGAAUAAGCACCGGCUAACUCCGUGCCAGCAGCCGCGGUAAUACGGAGGGUGCAAGCGUUAUCCGGAUUUAUUGGGUUUAAAGGGUGCGUAGGCGGCAUUUUAAGUCAGUGGUGAAAUCCUGCAGCUCAACUGUAGAACAGCCAUUGAAACUGAAGUACUUGAGUAAUCUUGAGGUAGGCGGAAUGUGUAGUGUAGCGGUGAAAUGCUUAGAUAUUACACAGAACACCGAUUGCGAAGGCAGCUUACUAAGGAUUUACUGACGCUGAUGCACGAAAGCGUGGGGAUCAAACAGGAUUAGAUACCCGAGU
rnacentral:rRNA from 1 species